UUCUAACCGUAAACGAUGACAACCAGCGAUUAGUCGGCGUUAAUAUAUGACCCGACUAGCAGCUUACGGGAAACCAAAGUUUUUCGUUUCCGGGGGAAGUAUGGUUGCAAAGCUGAAACUUAAAGGAAUUGACGGAAGGGCACCACCAGGAGUGGAGCCUGCGGCUUAAUUUGACUCAACACGGGAAAACUCACCCGGCCCGGACACCGUCAGGAUUGACAGACUGAGAGCUCUUUCUUAAUUCGGUGGGUGGUGGUGCAUGGCCGUUCUUAGUUGGUGGAGCGAUUUGUCUGGUUAAUUCCGAUAACGAACGAGACUCUGGCCUAUUAAAUAGACGGUAUAUUCGAAUAGGUAUAUCGCGCUUCUUAGAGGGACAAGCGGCGUCCAGCCGCAUGAAAUAGAGCAAUAACAGGUCUGUGAUGCCCUUAGAUGUCCGGGGCUGCACGCGCGCUACACUGAAAGAAUCAGCGUGCGAUUUUAGCCUGAUUCGGAAGGAUCGGGUAACCCCAGCAAAUUCUUUCGUGCUUGGGAUAGGGAAUUGCAAUUAUUUCCCUUAAACGAGGAAUUCCCAGUAAAUGCGGGUCAUAAGCUCGCGUUG
rnacentral:rRNA from 1 species